rnacentral:rRNA from 1 species
UGGGGAUUUUGCACAAUGGGCGCAAGCCUGAUGCAGCGACGCCGCGUGAGGGAUGAAGGCCUUCGGGUUGUAAACCUCUUUCGCUGGGUUGAAAGGCCAUGCUUUGGGUGUGGUUGAUUUGAACUGGUAAAGAAGUACCGGCUAACUACGUGCCAGCAGCCGCGGUAAUACGUAGGGUACUAGCGUUGUCCGGAUUUAUUGGGCGUAAAGCGCACGUAGGCUGCUUUGUAAGUCAGGGGUGAAAUCCCACGGCUCAACCGUGGAACUGCCUUUGAUACUGCUUAGCUUGAAUCCGGGAGAGGGUGGCGGAAUUCCAGGUGUAGAAGUGAAAUCCGUAGAUAUCUGGAGGAACAUCAGUGGCGAAGGCGGCCACCUGGACCGGUAUUGACGCUGAGGUGCGAAAGCGUGGGGAGCAAACAGG